rnacentral:rRNA from 1 species
GUGAGGAAUAUUGGUCAAUGGACGGAAGUCUGAACCAGCCAUGCCGCGUGCAGGAAUAAGGUCCUAUGGAUUGUAAACUGCUUUUAUUCGGGAAUAAACCUCUUUACGUGUAGGGAGCUGAAGGUACCGAAGGAAUAAGCACCGGCUAACUCCGUGCCAGCAGCCGCGGUAAUACGGAGGGUGCAAGCGUUAUCCGGAAUCAUUGGGUUUAAAGGGUCCGCAGGCGGGCUAUCAAGUCAGAGGUGAAAUCCCACAGCUUAACUGUGGAACUACCUUUGAAACUGAUGGUCUUGAAUUAAGUGGGCGUUGGCGGAAUAUGACAUGUAGCGGUGAAAUGCAUAGAUAUGUCAUGGAACACCGAAAGCGAAGGCAGCUAACGAUACUUAUAUUGACGCUCAUGGACGAAAGCGUGGGUAGCGAACAGGAUUAGAAACCCCUGUAGUCC